rnacentral:rRNA from 1 species
GACGAACGCUGGCGGCGUGCUUAACACAUGCAAGUCGAACGGUAAGGCUCCAGCUUGCUGGGGUACACGAGUGGCGAACGGGUGAGUAACACGUGGGUGACCUGCCCUGCACUUCGGGAUAAGCCUGGGAAACUGGGUCUAAUACCGGAUAGGACCGCACCGUGAGGGUGUGGUGGAAAGUUUUUUCGGUGUGGGAUGGGCCCGCGGCCUAUCAGCUUGUUGGUGGGGUAAUGGCCUACCAAGGCGGCGACGGGUAGCCGGCCUGAGAGGGUGGACGGCCACAUUGGGACUGAGACACGGCCCAGACUCCUACGGGAGGCAGCAGUGGGGAAUAUUGCACAAUGGGCGGAAGCCUGAUGCAGCGACGCCGCGUGGGGGAUGACGGCCUUCGGGUUGUAAACUCCUUUCACCAUCGUCGAAGGGUUUCUGACGGUAGAUGGAGAAGAAGCACCGGCUAACUACGUG